GGAGUUAGGUGAAGAGGAGAACGAUGUCCAGGCAGGGGCCGGGGAAGCUCGUGCCAAGGCACUGAGGGGAAGUGCUGCAAUGAACCUCAGAGGCUGGAUCUUGCUGACUCAUCUGGGGUACCAAGGACAGACAAAGGACAUGGAGUCCAGGCCCAGGAGGCGAUACCAGGCCAGCAGUUUCACUGAUGCUCCUGUCAUGACGAUGACUGCCUCCCUCCUCCCCUUGGUCCCUGACUCAGUGUCUGCAGUGACCAGGCACCAGGCAGGGAGCAAGGAACCAAGCCUUUCACCUGCUCCCACCAACUCCUAUGGUGCUCCCUUUCCAAGGCUAGGUCUCCUCUCCACCCAGUUCCUUAUCACGUACCAUGAGAAGCUGUCACCUUGGCAACUGUCACCUUCUGGUGAGAUUUACAAUUGCACUGCUACAACUGCUUGUGGCAUGGUAAAGUUGCACCAGGACCUCUGCUGUCCAUGAGAUCAAAGUUCCAGGCCAAGGCACCAGGGGCACGAACAGUGUUGCCCGCAUGGAACUCACACUUAAUGGGAGCGGCAGCCAACAGGUGUUGAGCCCAGUGAAGGAAAGAAAUGAGGGAUCCAGCCAUACAAGUGCCUGGGGGAAGAGCCUUCCAGCAGAGAGACCAGCAAGUACUCAGGAUGAUACCCGGCAAAUUCUUCAAAGCAGUGUUCUCCAACUUGAAUGUUUGUGAUGUGGGCGAUUCUGACUGAGGGGGUCUGUAGACCACAUCUUGAUAAACAAUGCUUUUUAAAAAAUUCCUAGAAGAGAAUAUUUGAUUUCUGGAAGGAUAGAGAAGAAACUAAUAAGAGUGUUUACCUCCGAGGAGGAGGAGAAUUGGGAAGCUGAGAGCAGAGGAGGGAGGAAGACUUACUUUUCACCGUGUUCUUUUUUGUACCUUUUGAGUUUUGUACGACAUACUGAAUCUUUGACCCAUUUGCAAUUAUAAAUAAAGGCACAUUUAUUUGGC
ensembl:lncRNA FLJ40194 uncharacterized FLJ40194